rnacentral:rRNA from 1 species
AGACCCGAAACCCGGUGAUCUAGCCAUGGGCAGGUUGAAGGUUGGGUAACACUAACUGGAGGACCGAACCGACUAAUGUUGAAAAAUUAGCGGAUGACCUGUGGCUGGGGGUGAAAGGCCAAUCAAACCGGGAGAUAGCUGGUUCUCCCCGAAAGCUAUUUAGGUAGCGCCUCGUGAAUUCAUCUCCGGGGGUAGAGCACUGUUUCGGCUAGGGGGCCAUCCCGGCUUACCAACCCGAUGCAAACUGCGAAUACCGGAGAAUGUUAUCACGGGAGACACACGGCGGGUGCUAACGUCCGUCGUGAAGAGGGAAACAACCCAGACCGCCAGCUAAGGUCCCAAAGUCAUGGUUAAGUGGGAAACGAUGUGGGAAGGCCCAGACAGCCAGGAUGUUGGCUUAGAAGCAGCCAUCAUUUAAAGAAAGCGUAAUAGCUCACUGGUCGAGUCGGCCUGCGCGGAAGAUGUAACGGGGCUAAACCAUGCACCGAAGCUGCGGCAGCGAACGUAUCACCCAAGACAACUUUACGGAGUUGACGAUUGACGGAGCGAAGCGACGUCAAAGCGUUCAUUAAAGUCGAGUUGGCUUAGGGAUACGUUCGUUGGGUAGGGGAGCGUUCUGUAAGCCUGUGAAGGUGUGUCGUGAGGCAUGCUGGAGGUAUCAGAAGUGCGAAUGCUGACAUAAGUAACGAUAAAGCGGGUGAAAAGCCCGCUCGCCGGAAGACCAAGGGUUCCUGUCCAACGUUAAUCGGGGCAGGGUGAGUCGACCCCUAAGGCGAGGCCGAAAGGCGUAGUCGAUGGGAAACGGGUUAAUAUUCCCGUACUUGGUGUUACUGCGAAGGGGGGACGGAGAAGGCUAUGUUGGCCGGGCGACGGUUGUCCCGGUUUAAGCGUGUAGGUGUGUGUUCCAGGUAAAUCCGGUUCACUUUAACACUGAGGCGUGACGACGAGGCACUACGGUGCUGAAGCAACAAAUGCCCUGCUUCCAGGAAAAGCCUCUAAGCAUCAGGUAACAUCAAAUCGUACCCCAAACCGACACAGGUGGUCAGGUAGAGAAUACCAAGGCGCUUGAGAGAACUCGGGUGAAGGAACUAGGCAAAAUGGUGCCGUAACUUCGGGAGAAGGCACGCUGACACGUAGGUGAAGUGAUUUACUCAUGGAGCUGAAGUCAGUCGAAGAUACCAGCUGGCUGCAACUGUUUAUUAAAAACACAGCACUGUGCAAACACGAAAGUGGACGUAUACGGUGUGACGCCUGCCCGGUGCCGGAAGGUUAAUUGAUGGGGUCAGCGCAAGCGAAGCUCCUGAUCGAAGCCCCGGUAAACGGCGGCCGUAACUAUAACGGUCCUAAGGUAGCGAAAUUCCUUGUCGGGUAAGUUCCGACCUGCACGAAUGGCGUAAUGAUGGCCAGGCUGUCUCCACCCGAGACUCAGUGAAAUUGAACUCGCUGUGAAGAUGCAGUGUACCCGCGGCAAGACGGAAAGACCCCGUGAACCUUUACUAUAGCUUGACACUGAACAUUGAGCCUUGAUGUGUAGGAUAGGUGGGAGGCUUUGAAGUGUGGACGCCAGUCUGCAUGGAGCCGACCUUGAAAUACCACCCUUUAAUGUUUGAUGUUCUAACGUGGACCCGUAAUCCGGGUUGCGGACAGUGUCUGGUGGGUAGUUUGACUGGGGCGGUCUCCUCCUAAAGAGUAACGGAGGAGCACGAAGGUUGGCUAAUCCUGGUCGGACAUCAGGAGGUUAGUGCAAUGGCAUAAGCCAGCUUGACUGCGAGCGUGACGGCGCGAGCAGGUGCGAAAGCAGGUCAUAGUGAUCCGGUGGUUCUGAAUGGAAGGGCCAUCGCUCAACGGAUAAAAGGUACUCCGGGGAUAACAGGCUGAUACCGCCCAAGAGUUCAUAUCGACGGCGGUGUUUGGCACCUCGAUGUCGGCUCAUCACAUCCUGGGGCUGAAGUAGGUCCCAAGGGUAUGGCUGUUCGCCAUUUAAAGUGGUACGCGAGCUGGGUUUAGAACGUCGUGAGACAGUUCGGUCCCUAUCUGCCGUGGGCGCUGGAGAACUGAGGGGGGCUGCUCCUAGUACGAGAGGACCGGAGUGGACGCAUCACUGGUGUUCGGGUUGUCAUGCCAAUGGCACUGCCCGGUAGCUAAAUGCGGAAGAGAUAAGUGCUGAAAGCA